rnacentral:misc_RNA from 1 species
AAGUCGUAACAAGGUAACCGUAGGUGAACCUGCGGUUGGAUCAUUAUUGAUACAACGGUCUUGGAGUCCUCUUCGGAGUUGAUUCCUCGACCUUACCCACCCCAUGUGCACUGUAAAUGUUUUUUGGGACUGUAGACUCUGGUCUUCUAGUCCCAACAGUAUUAAACUCUAUUUAAUUUGUCUGAAAUGAAAGCAAGAAUCGUAACAACUUUUGACAACGGAUCUCUUGGCUCUC